GACAGAGGGUGCAAACGUUGUUCGGAAUUACUGGGCGUAAAGCGCGUGUAGGCGGCCCUGCAAGUCGGAUGUGAAAUCCCACGGCUCAACCGUGGAAGUGCAUUCGAAACUGCAGGGCUAGAGUCCUGGAGAGGAAGGUGGAAUGCUUGGUGUAGAGGUGAAAUUCGUAGAUAUCAAGCGGAACACCGGUGGCGAAGGCGGCUCACUGGCCCGAUACUGACGCUGAGGUGCGAAAGCGUGGGGAGCAAACAGGG
rnacentral:rRNA from 1 species